rnacentral:rRNA from 1 species
UUAAGCGACUAAGCGUACACGGUGGAUGCCCUGGCAGUCAGAGGCGAUGAAGGACGUGCUAAUCUGCGAUAAGCGUCGGUAAGGUGAUAUGAACCGUUAUAACCGGCGAUUUCCGAAUGGGGAAACCCAGUGUGUUUCGACACACUAUCAUUAACUGAAUCCAUAGGUUAAUGAGGCGAACCGGGGGAACUGAAACAUCUAAGUACCCCGAGGAAAAGAAAUCAACCGAGAUUCCCCCAGUAGCGGCGAGCGAACGGGGAGCAGCCCAGAGCCUGAAUCAGUGUGUGUGUUAGUGGAAGCGUCUGGAAAGGCGCGCGAUACAGGGUGACAGCCCCGUACACAAAAAUGCACAUACUGUGAGCUCGAUGAGUAGGGCGGGACACGUGGUAUCCUGUCUGAAUAUGGGGGGACCAUCCUCCAAGGCUAAAUACUCCUGACUGACCGAUAGUGAACCAGUACCGUGAGGGAAAGGCGAAAAGAACCCCGGCGAGGGGAGUGAAAAAGAACCUGAAACCGUGUACGUACAAGCAGUGGGAGCCUCCUUUAUGGGGUGACUGCGUACCUUUUGUAUAAUGGGUCAGCGACUUAUAUUCUGUAGCAAGGUUAACCGAAUAGGGGAGCCGAAGGGAAACCGAGUCUUAACCGGGCGUUAAGUUGCAGGGUAUAGACCCGAAACCCGGUGAUCUAGCCAUGGGCAGGUUGAAGGUUGGGUAACACUAACUGGAGGACCGAACCGACUAAUGUUGAAAAAUUAGCGGAUGACUUGUGGCUGGGGGUGAAAGGCCAAUCAAACCGGGAGAUAGCUGGUUCUCCCCGAAAGCUAUUUAGGUAGCGCCUCGUGAAUUCAUCUCCGGGGGUAGAGCACUGUUUCGGCAAGGGGGUCAUCCCGACUUACCAACCCGAUGCAAACUGCGAAUACCGGAGAAUGUUAUCACGGGAGACACACGGCGGGUGCUAACGUCCGUCGUGAAGAGGGAAACAACCCAGACCGCCAGCUAAGGUCCCAAAGUCAUGGUUAAGUGGGAAACGAUGUGGGAAGGCCCAGACAGCCAGGAUGUUGGCUUAGAAGCAGCCAUCAUUUAAAGAAAGCGUAAUAGCUCACUGGUCGAGUCGGCCUGCGCGGAAGAUGUAACGGGGCUAAACAAUGCACCGAAGCUGCGGCAGCGACACUGUGUGUUGUUGGGUAGGGGAGCGUUCUGUAAGCCUGUGAAGGUGUACUGUAAGGUAUGCUGGAGGUAUCAGAAGUGCGAAUGCUGACAUAAGUAACGAUAAAGCGGGUGAAAAGCCCGCUCGCCGGAAGACCAAGGGUUCCUGUCCAACGUUAAUCGGGGCAGGGUGAGUCGACCCCUAAGGCGAGGCCGAAAGGCGUAGUCGAUGGGAAACAGGUUAAUAUUCCUGUACUUGGUGUUACUGCGAAGGGGGGACGGAGAAGGCUAUGUUGGCCGGGCGACGGUUGUCCCGGUUUAAGCGUGUAGGCUGGUUUUCCAGGCAAAUCCGGAAAAUCAAGGCUGAGGCGUGAUGACGAGGCACUACGGUGCUGAAGCAACAAAUGCCCUGCUUCCAGGAAAAGCCUCUAAGCAUCAGGUAACAUCAAAUCGUACCCCAAACCGACACAGGUGGUCAGGUAGAGAAUACCAAGGCGCUUGAGAGAACUCGGGUGAAGGAACUAGGCAAAAUGGUGCCGUAACUUCGGGAGAAGGCACGCUGAUAUGUAGGUGAAGUCCCUCGCGGAUGGAGCUGAAAUCAGUCGAAGAUACCAGCUGGCUGCAACUGUUUAUUAAAAACACAGCACUGUGCAAACACGAAAGUGGACGUAUACGGUGUGACGCCUGCCCGGUGCCGGAAGGUUAAUUGAUGGGGUCAGCGCAAGCGAAGCUCUUGAUCGAAGCCCCGGUAAACGGCGGCCGUAACUAUAACGGUCCAAGGUAGCGAAAUUCCUUGUCGGGUAAGUUCCGACCUGCAGAAUGGCGUAAUGAUGGCCAGGCUGUCUCCACCCGAGACUCAGUGAAAUUGAACUCGCUGUGAAGAUGCAGUGUACCCGCGGCAAGACGGAAAGACCCCGUGAACCUUUACUAUAGCUUGACACUGAACAUUGAGCCUUGAUGUGUAGGAUAGGUGGGAGGCUUUGAAGUGUGGACGCCAGUCUGCAUGGAGCCGACCUUGAAAUACCACCCUUUAAUGUUUGAUGUUCUAACGUGGACCCGUGAUCCGGGUUGCGGACAGUGUCUGGUGGGUAGUUUGACUGGGGCGGUCUCCUCCUAAAGAGUAACGGAGGAGCACGAAGGUUGGCUAAUCCUGGUCGGACAUCAGGAGGUUAGUGCAAUGGCAUAAGCCAGCUUGACUGCGAGCGUGACGGCGCGAGCAGGUGCGAAAGCAGGUCAUAGUGAUCCGGUGGUUCUGAAUGGAAGGGCCAUCGCUCAACGGAUAAAAGGUACUCCGGGGAUAACAGGCUGAUACCGCCCAAGAGUUCAUAUCGACGGCGGUGUUUGGCACCUCGAUGUCGGCUCAUCACAUCCUGGGGCUGAAGUAGGUCCCAAGGGUAUGGCUGUUCGCCAUUUAAAGUGGUACGCGAGCUGGGUUUAGAACGUCGUGAGACAGUUCGGUCCCUAUCUGCCGUGGGCGCUGGAGAACUGAGGGGGGCUGCUCCUAGUACGAGAGGACCGGAGUGGACGCAUCACUGGUGUUCGGGUUGUCAUGCCAAUGGCACUGCCCGGUAGCUAAAUGCGGAAGAGAUAAGUGCUGAAAGCAUCUAAGCACGAAACUUGCCCCGAGAUGAGUUCUCCCUGACCCUUUAAGGGUCCUGAAGGAACGUUGAAGACGACGACGUUGAUAGGCCGGGUGUGUAAGCGCAGCGAUGCGUU